rnacentral:rRNA from 1 species
GAUGAACGCUGGCGGCGUGCCUAAUACAUGCAAGUCGAGCGAACUGAUUAGAAGCUUGCUUCUAUGACGUUAGCGGCGGACGGGUGAGUAACACGUGGGCAACCUGCCUGUAAGACUGGGAUAACUUCGGGAAACCGAAGCUAAUACCGGAUAGGAUCUUCUCCUUCAUGGGAGAUGAUUGAAAGAUGGUUUCGGCUAUCACUUACAGAUGGGCCCGCGGUGCAUUAGCUAGUUGGUGAGGUAACGGCUCACCAAGGCAACGAUGCAUAGCCGACCUGAGAGGGUGAUCGGCCACACUGGGACUGAGACACGGCCCAGACUCCUACGGGAGGCAGCAGUAGGGAAUCUUCCGCAAUGGACGAAAGUCUGACGGAGCAACGCCGCGUGAGUGAUGAAGGCUUUCGGGUCGUAAAACUCUGUUGUUAGGGAAGAACAAGUACGAGAGUAACUGCCCGUACCUUGACGGUACCUAACCAGAAAGCCACGGCUAACUACGUGCCAGCCGCCGCAGUAACAC